rnacentral:ribozyme from 1 species
CUUGGGAAGGUCGGUGACCGGCUCGUGGGUCUUGUCGGGCUCCUUGAUCUGGGCGAAGGACUGCGUGACGUUGCUUCGGGCACCUCCAGAGAUGCUCCAGACUU